rnacentral:misc_RNA from 1 species
GUGAACGCCCUCACGGGCUUAUACUAUUCCAACCUCUGUGAACCGUGCCCUUCGGGGCUAUUUUACAAACAUGGUGUAAUGAACGUCAUAUAUCAUAACAAAACA